UUUAGAGCUAGUAAAGUUAAAGACGGAGAUCCCUUUGCCCAACUGAUGCAGAAAUUGAGAACACGACAAAGUCUAAGCUUCAUGGCUGUUGUAGCAUCAACAUGGUUUUGUUGCAGCCAGCUAGUGGGAAAGGUAUGAUGGAGUCAAAUUGAGCUGCAGCUGCUGCAUGCAGUUUAUUGUGCUGUUGUUAUCCCCUAUUGUCACAACAGAAAGACUUCUUGAAUUGCAACCCCUUUUAGGUGGGCCUCUUUUUUAGGUGGCUGUGAAUAAGUGGCUGUAUGAUGUCCACCAGGUAGCGCCAGUGUCUUCAGGGACGCUUAGCGGCCGUUUUGAUCCAAGACGCAGCAGAAGUUGGUUGUGACGUUUCUCACGAUGAAAAUUAAAAGGUCAUUUAGAACGUAGAAACCAAUUUGCCAAAUCAUUCAACUCAGAAUUGGGAAGUGCCUGUACAUUUCCGAAAUGGCGUGCCUCGUGUGUCUCGUUGCCUGUUCAUUGGCUUACGUCUCACCCCAUUCAACAGGAAAAGUAAAACAAAUGCUGGUGGUUACCUUGUUGCAGCCAAAUGGUGAAAGAUGUGACAAAGACAGAUUGAACCAUUGUAUGCAGCAUGCAGUUGCAGUGUAAUCCAGAAGUUGCUGUGCUGUUGUAGCUGAGCUGUGGCAUCUGGGUUCCUGACUUAAACAUGUUUGUGUUUUCAUCCAUGCCAUAUGAAAUUGCUUUGCCAUUGAUAUUUUGUGUUGCUGUGUUAAAAGUUUGAUCUGUUGUCUUUUGAGUUUCAUUCAAUCAUGCAGUAUAUGACUGAGGCGACCUGAUCAAUGUCAGGUUUGAAACAGUUGAGAACUGCUAGAUAAAACAAGCUUUCUGCACCAAACAAAUAAUAACUUGCAUCUAACUUGCAUCGUGUUAUUAUCGCGGUAGAGAAAGCGACAGGCCCCCCCCCCCUGGGGGUCACAGGAAAAAUGUAUAUGUAUAUGAAUAUUAUAAAAAUAAAAUUUUGCAUGCAAUAAAA